AUUGAACGCUGGCGGCAGGCCUAACACAUGCAAGUCGAACGAGUGGCGGACGGGUGCGUAAUGUCUGGGAAACUGCCUGAUGGAGGGGGAUAACUACUGGAAACGGUAGCUAAUACCGCAUACCAUCGGAUGUGCCCCGAUGGGAUUAGCUAGUAGGUGGGGUAAAGGCUCAACUAGGCGACGAUCCCUAGCUGGUCUGAGAGGAUGACCAGCCAGACUGGACCUGAGAAACGGUCCAGACGCCUACGGGAGUCAGCAGUGGGGAAUAUUGCACAAUGGGCGCAAGCCUGAUGCAGCCAUGCCGCGUGUAUGAAGAAGGCCGUCGGGUUGUAAAGUACUUUCAGCGGGGAGGCGUUACACGCAGAAGAAGCACCGGCUAGCUCCGUGCCAGCAGCCGCGGUAAUUC
rnacentral:rRNA from 1 species